rnacentral:rRNA from 1 species
AUUGAACGCUGGCGGCAUGCCUUACACAUGCAAGUCGAACGGCAGCACGGACUUCGGUCUGGUGGCGAGUGGCGAACGGGUGAGUAAUGUAUCGGAACGUACCUUUCAGUGGGGGAUAACGUAGCGAAAGUUACGCUAAUACCGCAUAUUCUGUGAGCAGGAAAGCAGGGGAUCGCAAGACCUUGCGCUGAUUGAGCGGCCGAUAUCAGAUUAGCUAGUUGGUGGGGUAAAGGCCUACCAAGGCUACGAUCUGGAGCGGGUCUGAGAGGAUGAUCCGCCACACUGGAACUGAGACACGGUCCAGACUCCUACGGGAGGCAGCAGUGGGGAAUUUUGGACAAUGGGGGCAACCCUGAUCCAGCCAUGCCGCGUGAGUGAAGAAGGCCUUCGGGUUGUAAAGCUCUUUCGGCCGGGAAGAAAUCGCAUAGGCUAAUACCCUGUGUGGAUGACGGUACCGGAAUAAGAAGCACCGGCUAACUACGUGCCAGCCGCCGCAGUAA